AGUAACACGUGAGCAACCUACCCUAAAGUUCGGGAUAGCCCGCCGAAAGGCGGAUUAAUACCGAAUGUGGUUCUCCUUCGCAUGUUGGAGAUACUAAAGCUUGUAAUGGCGCUUUUGGAGGGGCUCGCGGUCUAUCAGCUUGUUGGUGAGGUAACGGCUCACCAAGGCUUAGACGGAUAGCUGGUCUGAGAGGAUGAUCAGCCACACUGGAACUGAGACACGGUCCAG
rnacentral:rRNA from 1 species